rnacentral:rRNA from 1 species
GACGAACGCUGGCGGCGUGCUUAACACAUGCAAGUCGAACGGAAAGGCCCUGCUUUUGUGGGGUGCUCGAGUGGCGAACGGGUGAGUAACACGUGAGUAACCUGCCCUUGACUUUGGGAUAACUUCAGGAAACUGGGGCUAAUACCGGAUAGGAGCUCCUGCUGCAUGGUGGGGGUUGGAAAGUUUCGGCGGUUGGGGAUGGACUCGCGGCUUAUCAGCUUGUUGGUGGGGUAGUGGCUUACCAAGGCUUUGACGGGUAGCCGGCCUGAGAGGGUGACCGGCAACAUUGGGACUGAGAUACGGCCCAGACUCAUACGGGAGGCAGCAGUGGGGAAUAUUGCACAAUGGGCGGAAGCCUGAUGCAGCAACGCCGCGUGCGGGAUGACGGCCUUCGGGUUGUAAACCGCUUUCGCCUGUGACGAAGCGUGAGUGACGGUAAUGGGUAAAGAAGCACCGGCUAACUACGUG